UUGAAUCCCAUGUCGGACCGAGCCGCUGCAAGCUUUGGGCCGUCAGAAGAUGCUGAUGAGAUCUACGGCGACCAAACCAGAGGAGCAGUAAACAGUGAGAGCAUGUUCAGAACUGUGGACGUCCAAAAUCAGAAGUGCUGUGAGGAACCGGGACCUCUAGGAUGCUGAGGAGCCUCCUAGUCCCUACCUGAGGACGGCACAGAGGAAAACACCUGCAGAGAAGCAGGUUGAAUAUGGAAGCAGCGUUCUAUCAGUCGGAUCUCAGUGGAACAGAGUCCAUCCACACAUGUCUGGAGG